GGUCUCUGGAUAACUGUGCCUUAGAGCUACAAUUGCCUGUGGGAAACAGAAAAGGGUUAUCAUUGAAGGAGCAUCUGUUAGAGGGGUGUUCUUGUUCUGUUUUGGUUUUCUCGGUUUCUCUAUUUGGUAUCCAUUCCACAAGACCAACUGUAUUAACUAUGUUUUCUUAAUUUCUACAUUCUUUAUGCUCUGGCAUUUCGGAGCCUCAGACCCAUUAUAGACGCAGGGAGAGGCUGCCCCUUCCAGGGCUAGCUUAUUCUUAAAUAUAGCAAUUUUCCUACAAGCAUGCCUUUCAUAUGCCAGCCAACCACUCUCUUUAUCUCACCCUCACACACCAAGCCAGUAUUCCUCUGGUCUAAAUCAUCCCAAGCCUAGGUGUCAGACAACUAAGGACAGCCCCUAUCCCCCAGAGUCCAUCAGAAUGACCGAAUCUAGCCAAUCCUAACCCAUGCACCUUGUCCUGUCCUGCCUUUUCCACGGGAACCCCAAUACAGACUCCGACUAAGGCUUCCCUUUUAUUCUUGCCUUCUGUCUCUGGACCAUCUUGUGUCCCUCUGAAGCACGGGAUGUACCCUUCCUUUGUGAAAUGGUGAAUGUAUAUACGCAGCAGUUAAACAAGUCUGAAGAAAACAUUUCAAGAUUUUAGUCCAGGUGACAUUUGUCGAUGGCCUGCUAGCCUUUCAUCAUAUGUAGCAGUGGAGCCUCUUCCUGAUGUGGAUCACAAAUGAGGAGAACUAAGACAGUGCACUAUGUGCAAGAAUUCAGGCCACAGGAAAUCAUGCCAUCUGGAACUGCUAAAUGGCCAGCAGAAACUUCACAGAUAAGCAAGAUUCAGUGAUAUGCUUUGGAUCACCAUGUAAAAUAAGUCUGAUGCCACCAAAAAGCAAGAGAGAAAUGGAACACUAAGCUGGAAUUUUCACAGGAAAUUAUAAUUAUAAUCUUAAAAAACCACUGUGUACUUUUCCUUGUUCUACUGAAAUAUAUUAACUCUAAAUAAACAAACCAAACUGAA